rnacentral:rRNA from 1 species
GACAGCAGCGCCACGGUAAUACGAAGGGUGCAAGCGUUACUCGGAAUUACUGGGCGUAAAGCGUGCGUAGGUGGUGGUUUAAGUCCGUUGUGAAAGCCCUGGGCUCAACCUGGGAAUUGCAGUGGAUACUGGGUCACUAGAGUGUGGUAGAGGAUAGUGGAAUUUCCGGUGUAGCAGUGAAAUGCGUAGAGAUCGGAAGGAACAUCUGUGGCGAAGGCGACUAUCUGGGCCAACACUGACACUGAGGCACGAAAGCGUGGGGAGCAAACAGGAUUAGAUACCCCAGUAGUCCCUGUCUCUUAUACC